ACAUGUUGUAUAAUCACAAUCUACAAGCUUUGACAUUACUAGAACCCAUAUUUUAAGAAGCAAUUAUGAAGAGCUGCUCUGUUGUUCGUGAAAAUAACAAAAACAAACAUUUCAAACCAACCAAGGAACCCAUGUUUUCUGACUACUUACAAGGAAAUCCUGUUAAAACAAUAACACAAAAAUGAACAAAGUUCCACGAUAUUUUGAGAAAGUAGAAGAUUCAAAUGAAACUCAAAAUAAAGAUAUUAAACCGAAAAAAGAAUUUAAGAAGGAUAUUGUGUUUAAUAUUGACGUGAAACCAAAACCAUGGGGUCGUAGAAGGGAAGAUAAUCGAAUCAGAAAGGAACAAAGAAAUCCAAAUAAAAUAAGUAGAAAGAAUGUUAAGUACAGUGCUAAUACAAAACCAAAACUAUGGGAUCAUAGAACAAGAGAUGGUGGAGUUAAAAAAAUCAAAUAUGUUCCAAAUCCUAAUCCUAAGUUUCCUGGUCGUGUUCCCAUACCUAAACAAAAACUACAGAGGCAUAGUAGAGGUGAAGGCAUAGAGAAAAAAGGAAUUCGAACAGGUGUGCACAGGAAGAAAUUUGAAAAGAAAGAAAGAAAUAUUAAAUUAGCAACUGAAUUAGCAGCCACAGGAAGUAGAUGCUGGUGAAUCGAGCACUCAGUUUACACAGAAAGAGAUUGCAGCUAGUGUUGAUAUUAUAUCAGCUACAAAAUACUUUGAAUUACAUCUGCAUGAAUUCGGCCCCUAUCGUGCGAAAUAUACUCGCAAUGGAAGACCUACUUUUGGGUGGUAAAAUGGGGCACGUUGCCUAUGAGGGCACCUUCAUCUAAACAUCCGCUUGUUAAAAUGCUCUGCCACAAGUCACCAUUAACUGCACUCCACAUUGAUCCCAGAGGAAUAUACAUGGCAACUGCUGCCACUGAUAAAAGCAUUAAAGUGUGGGAUGUAAGACAACUGGAUGAACCUUUGCAAAAUUAUACUGUGAGGUCUGCUGCUGAAUGUAUCAAUUUCUCUCACACAAACAUGUUGUCCUGGGCAUGGGAAAUAUUAUCGAGUUUAUAGGGAUUGUUGUACAAAAACUGCAAAAAGAGCUUAUCUGCGGCAUCGACUGACAGGCUUUGUGAGCAAUAUGGAUUUUUGUCCAUUUGAAGAUG
rnacentral:misc_RNA from 1 species